GGCACUAACGUGAACGUAGGAGGCAAAGGCGGUACUGGGGUGAACACCGGGAAGGGAACCAACGUUGGUGUUGGCAAAGGAGGAGUGUCCGUAAACACAGGGCACAAGGGAAAGCCCGUGUAUGUUGGAGUAAAACCAGGACCAGACCCUUUUAACUACCAGUAUGCAGCCACCGAAACCCAACUCCAUCAAGACCCAAACGUUGCUAUUUUCUUCUUGGAGAAAGACAUGCGUCCUGGAACAACAAUGAACUUGCACUUCACCACAAAUUCAAACACGCAAACUUUUGUGCCGCGCGAAACUGCGGAAUCCAUCCCAUUUUCGUCCAACAAGCUGCCAGAAAUCUUCAACCAAUUUUCAGUGAAAUCGGGUUCCGUGGAAGCGGAUAUAAUCAAGGGUACAAUUCAAGAGUGUGAGAAUCCAGCCAUUAGAGGAGAGGAGAAAUAUUGUGCUACCUCUUUGGAGUCCAUGAUUGACUUUAGCACUUCUAAGCUUGGAGGAGGAAAUGUUCGAGCAAUUUCGACAGAAGCCGGAAAAGGAGCUACAUUGCAGAAGUACACAAUAACUUCUGGAGUGAAGAAGUUGGCGGCGGAUAAGUCGGUCGUGUGUCACAAGCAGAACUAUCCCUAUGCUGUCUUUUACUGCCAUGCAACAAAAACAACAAGAGCUUAUGUGGUGCCCCUGAAAGGUGCUGAUGGGGUGAAUGUUAAAGCAGUAGCAGUCUGCCAUACAGACACAUCGGAGUGGAACCCUAAUCAUUUGGCCUUCCAAGUUCUCAAAGUUAAGCCGGGAACUGUUCCGGUCUGCCAUUUCCUUCCCAGUGAUCAUGUUGUCUGGGUUCCAAACCAGAAAUCUACCUGAUUUGACUGAUCAACCCUUGAGUUCUACGUAUGAUGAUGUGAUCAGCUCAAUCAGCAUAGUUUGAGUGGCAAGAGUUUGAAAUUAAAUCGACCGUCGAUUACUUCUUAUUGUCACUAUGUAUUUCAGCCUAUAUAUAUACUCAUAAAUGAAAGCAUACUAUCGUGUGGACUUGUACCAAAAAGCAUGCUAGUGGACAUGCUCUACUACAUUCAGUAAUAGUUAUAUAUGCUUUGAUUCUGUGGUGCCAUCUGUCCACUGGUUCAGUUUUAAAUUGUCGUGCUAUUAUAUGCAUGAUACACGGGUUUCAUCUCCUUUGUCUUAGGAGAGGGAGGGAGUUGAGUACGUUGCAUGUCGAUAAUUAACAAAUUUUGUAUAUACUUAUAAGGAAGUGGAACCUUAAUUUCUUUUACGAUCUAAUCAAAGCAGUUACCCAGGGACUGCCAAGAAGCUAAAAUCCCAAACCAAGGAGGGCACCAGAUAACAAAGGGAAGUUUCAUUUGUACAAAUAAAAAUCCACAAAAAAAUCUCGCCACAAAAGUACAAAUUCAAAAAAAAAAUCAGGCCACUAUUGCAUGCUUCAAAAUUAAAGAAAAUUUCAGGCCACUGCAUGCUCUUGCUUUCCGGGUUUUCCCCACAAAGUUUUCUGUUGACAGGUAGGCCGACAAAAAUAUGAGCGCUUCACACCAGGCAAUGGCAAGGGCUGCAUGUUUUACACCUAAUCCCAACAAAUUUGGUAGUUCACCUUCUUACUUCCCCAUAAAUAUUGAACCCAUAUGCUACUGUUUACCAUAUCUCUCUGAGUUUUCAUGUUUCAUCCAGUAAUUUUCGUUUGUGUUGCAAAAGUUGAGUCUUAAUGGGGUUCCUUCUCUCCAGAAUCUUUGCUUUUCUAACUGUAAGUAAGAGCUGUAAUUUUGAAUCCUCCCUGUUACUAUAGUUAAUUUGAUUGAUCUUAUGUUUUUGCUAAUUUUAUUUUCUUUCUCUCUUACUAAUUGUGCGAGUUUAAUUUCAGCUCACACUGGUGGGUGUCCAUGCUGCUUUACCUUUGUCACCUCAGCUUUACUGGAAUUCCGUCCAGCCAAACUCACCAAUGCCGAAGAUAUCAGUCAACUAGUCCAGACUGGUUAGUAUCUAUGUACAACCUCAGAUUGGCUUCAAAAACUCAUUUCCACAACCAAUCGUCCUUGUGAUUUACACAUGUUUUCACUUUUGCACAAGAAGAAAAAGAGGCAACAACCGCGGAACAAGUUUGGCUGUUGUUACUAGCCUAGCGAUUGCUAAAUACGUGACAAAAAGUUAAAAAAGCGCACCAAAAAGUAAAAAAUUAUGACAUACUGUUUGUCACGCUUCUAGGAAUAGCUACACUAGAAAUAGCACCCUGGCUCCAUAGCUAUUUAUGUUGGUAAAUCCGCAGACUUCAUUACUGUUGGCAAAGGGGGAGUUAUUGUUCAUAACCAAGUUGCAGAUGUUGCAACUAACGUUCAAUAUCUUUACCGGGAUGAUUCAACUGAAGGCAAGAUGCAGAUCAAAAAGUAAAGACAUAAAGAUGCUGCUGAAAAUCCAACACUUGAAGACCCAACUCGAGUAAUUUUCUUCUUGGAGAAGGACAUUCAUCCUGGCACAACAGUGAAUUAUCACUUAUCCGGAAAUUCAACCAGAGAAACUUUCCUGUCCCGCAAGACUGCAGAGUCCAUCCCCUUCGGCUCAAGCAAAUUGGCAGAAAUUCUUAACCGAUUUUCAGUGAAACCGGGGUCUUUGGAAGCCGACAUAAUGAAAGAAACCAUCCAAUAUUGUGAAGGGGUGGCCAUGAGAGCCGAAGAAAAAUAUUGUGGUACCUCUCUAGAGUCGAUGAUUGACUUCACCACCUCCAAGCUUUGAAGAAAUAAUAUUAAAGCAAUCACGACGGAGGUGGAAAAAGGAGCUGCCCCGCUGCAGAAUUACACAAUAACCCCUGGAGUGAAAAAGCUGGCAGGCAACAAACUUAUUGUGUGCCAUAAGAUGAUCUAUCCAUAUGCCGUUUUCUACUGCCAUGCAAUUGAAAAAACAAGGACUUUUAUUGUGCCUCUCAAAGGCGCUGACGGGACGAAUGCUAAAGCAGUAGCAGCCUGCCAUGAAGACACAUCUGAAUGGAGCCCAAAACAUUUUGCCUUCAAAGAGCUCAAUUUUGAGCCAGGAACAACUGAAUCCCAUUUGCCAUUUUCUUAAAAACGAGAAUGUUGGUUGGGUUUCAAAACAAAAACCUACAUGAGUUGAAUCCGCCGCUCGGGUCCUCUACUUGAUUAUGUAGCCCAUCAAUAGGAGUAAUUAGCCCGCUCCAUUAAUAAAAACAAUCGCAUGAGACAGAUGAGCUGUUUAUGUCUGAGACUGCGUACUCACUUCAUAACAUAUUCUUAUUACUCAUUAGCAACGCAAAAUUCCCUCUUGUAAUAGAGACGAAAAAAGUACCACCCCCCCCCCCCUUCCCAAAAUAAAAGCAAAGAAAAAAAAUAGAUGAGUAUAUUUUAUUGUAUCUCUUAAUCUUAUCCUACCUCCCAUAUCAAUAAUUUGAAUGAAAAAAAUAAGAGUAAUGCUAAAGAAACUAAAUUUGAAGAUUAAAAUUGCAAACUAAAUGAUGUAUUACUAAUAGAAAUAAGCACGUCUUUUAAGACUUAAGUAAUAAACCAAUCAUCAAUUUCCAUGUUCUUUAGUUUUCAAAAUUUAGUCUCCAAAUUGAGACUCCCUAGCAUUACUCAAAAAAAAAAAAAAAAUAUCAAUGAAUAUGGAAAAAAAUAUAUAUAAAACGGUUGAUCUCUAUUAAACCUGCUAAUGACCCGAAGCAUAAAGUACUUGCUACCGGUGAAAUAAACACUCGCAUUACUCAAAAAUUAAUAAUAUCAAUGAAUAUGGAAAAAAAAUAUAUAAAACGAUUGAUCUCUAUUAAACAUGCUAAUGACCCGAAGCAUAAAGUACUUGCUACCGGUGCAAUAAACACUCGCAUUUGAAGAACUCCUCUAUUGUAUUUGUAAUACAUAAUGGUAAUAUGUAUAUGAUCAGAUUUGUUUAUGCAUAGUUACCCUACUUCCUCUUGUGGAACUCCAGGUUGAGGAGUUAGGAGAUCUACAAGUUUGCUAAAGUGAACCACUCUAUCACACUGAGGAUUUGUUUGAUAAUGAUUUUGUUUGCAAUCUGGGAGAAGUAGUUACAAAUCUGCUAAAGUGAACCACAACAGUCAAUCACAUGACUAAGGGUUUGUGUGAUAAUCGUUUCGCUUUUUUGUAGUUUUCGCCUUUAGUGCUUGCUAUAUGGGAAAAAAAAAAAAAUAUAUAUAUAUAUAUAUAUAUGGAAAGAAAGAAGGAUGAAGGAAAAAUGGUAUAGUGAAUGUAGAUGAAAUAUACAAGGAAUGAUACACACUAAAAACAAAAAAUUUUAAGUUAUUUUCAUCUUCAAAAUUAUGUUUUCAUUCGUUGUUCUCUAUUUUUGAAUCACAAGUUUGAGUGACCAAAAUAGCCUAAGGGUAUAAAUGACAUUCGCAAAAUAUAGGAUGACUCAUCAUCACUCGGUAAGAAGUUGGUUAGUUGGAUCAAAGGUUAAUGUACCUUAGUUGAUAAGCAAAAUCACGAAGACUAAACUUAAUAAUUGAAACAUAAAUGGUCUUAUUUCUAAUUAUGUGCAAAAUGACUUUUUUAGAGGCGUUGUUUUUCUUUUUUGGACAAAGGUAAUUUUCAUUACCAAAAGAGCACAAUUACAGACAAAGAGGCCCAAAUACAUUGUAAACACAAAACAAAAAGUGAACCCCCAACACUAAACAAAAGCUCAACCCGAGAGAAGGGCCCAAAACAGAAAACCUUACAAGACUAACUUCCUCCGUCGUCGUCAAAGAACCGGCAGCCGACCACAAUCCAACAACCUAGGCCAAAGAUCUCACCAAACACAGCGCCAAAGAAGAAGGCUCCAUCUUCCUCCACCAAACACCACACAAAUUGAAACCGCAACCACCAAAGAAAGAAGCCAGAAGGAAAGAACUUUCCCCUAGCAAAAAAAGCCGAAAACGGCAUACAAUUGGAAGGUGGUGGUGUGUACACCAUAUGAGCAGAAGCUCUGCACACCUUCCUAGAAAACCUCGAAACACAGGUGGAAGAGAUGGUUGCAGAAUUGAACAUGUGUGAGAAUGAUGUAGGACAGAAGCAAAUGGAAAAGUAAAAAAAUGGCUGGAUUAGAGUCAUGGAGGUGGAAAAACUUGAGAGAGAAGAAGAAAAAGGAAGGUUGGAAGUGGGACUGUCAGAUCAAGACUGAUGAAAGGUUAGAGCGGAGGUUGCAUGGGGAUUACCAAAAAAGACGGCCAGAAAAACAUGGAGAAAGCCAAUCUCAUAGCUCGAUGUAUCCAGGACUCAAUCUACUAGUCACUCCAUUAAUGUUGAAUUAAAUACUCCAAUUUAUUUCCACACAAAGAAACAAAUCAGAAACGUAAGAAAAAAUUAAGACCACCGCAUGCUCUGCAUUUUCGGUUUCAUCUGGUAUGGAUUAUUGGAUUUUACUGAUAGAUCCAUGUUUUAAUUUGUGAAAUGUUAAGGAGAUUCUCUCAAAGUGACAUUUUUCAUGGACUUUCUGCCUCCUCAUGGUUUUGACACUAUUUUAUAAUGUUGGCACGAAAAUUUUGCUAAAAACACUAAAUGACGUAGAAUCCACGAAUAGUCUUACUUUUGAGAGAAUUUCCUUACUAUUUCUAAUUGAAUUUGAUUCAAAGUUGGGAAUAAAUGUGGAACAUCACACUAGGCAGUGGAAAGGGGCACAUGUUACACCUUAUUGAUGCACAAAACCGGAGGUCUUGGAACAACGUAAAUCCGAUCGUGAAUCUGCAUGAAAUGUAAAUAACACAAGAUGUAUCGUGGUUCAUCCCAAGGUUUGGGCUACGUCCACACUGAUUAUGUAUUUAUCUGAGAGGUGAGGGAAAGAACCUCUGAAUAUGAUAAGGGACGUGAGAGGGGUGAGAAGGCUUAAGAAAUGGCAUCCCCCAAUUGUGAGGGUGAUGGGUCCUUUUAUAGAAUAAUGACUCCUCACUUAUUACAUAUUUGCCAUUUCCUUUAUCACAUAAUUGCAUUUAAGUCCCCCGAGUAUUUGUACAAGAUCUAAAUACGAGGCCCUAAAUAUGGUAUAAACAGUAGUCCCCCAAGUCUUCGGUCAAUAGAGUCUUUUGGCUGGAGACUUGAAAUUCAGUUCAUGUGUGGGCCGAAGUAACUAGAUGUUGUCUUGAACUGAUGCUCGAUAUGAGGCGGUGCUCCAUCUGAAAUGAUGCUCUACUAGAAGUAGCACAUGCUGCAAGGUUGCUCGGCUCGUGGCUUAUGUUGCCUUGGUUGGCUCGGCUUGUGGCGUUGGGAGGUGAGGGAGUCCAUUUUAUAAAAUAAGGGUUCGCUCCUCAAUACAUAAAUGAUGGGCUAGAGUUGAUACUCGCGGCGAGGUGGUUGCUCAAUAGGCGGCGAUACUCUCUAAUGGUGGUAAGGGAGUCCCUUUUAUAGAAUAAGGGCUCGCUCCUCAAUACAUAAGUGAUGGGUUAGGAGUGAUGCUGGCGGCGUUGCUCUCUAAUGAAGGUGAGGGAGUCCCUUUUAUAAAAUAAGAGCUCGCUUCUCAGUACAUGAAUAAUGGGUGAUCUCUAAUGAAAGUGAGGGAGUCCCUUUUAUAGAAUAAGAGUUCGCUCCUUAAUACAUAAAUAAUGGGCUAAGUCCCCCAAGUAUUUUUCAUGAGGCCCAGUUGAGGCCCAAUAUAUGGUACAUAGUGUAGUUCCCCAAGUCUUCGUUCAAUAGAGUCUGUUGGCUGGAGACUUCAAACUAAAUCCAUAUAUGGGCCAAAAUGGCGGUUGUUCGGAUAUGGUAUUUGUAUACCUUGCACUGAAGCUUUGUAGGUGAAACUUUGCAAACUAGAGCUCUGUAAAUGAAGUUUUUAAAGCUAAUUGACAUAAGUGAUGUUCAUGAAUGUUUAUGUUGAUUGACAUGAGUGAUGCUCAUGGAUGUUGUCAUGAGUGAUGCUCAUGAAUGUUAACAUGAGUGAUGCUCAUAAAUGUUGACAUGAAUGAUGGUCAUGAAUGUUUAUGUAUGAUUGUUAUGAGUGAUGCUCAUGAAUGUUUAUGUAUGAAUGACAUGAGUAAUGCUCAUGUAUAAUUUGGAAUACUAGGCGUACUUUUGAUCACCUGGUUGGUGGCAUGAAGGAGAGUACGAGUUGUAUAUUUCAUCACCUGGUUGGUGGCAUGAAGGAGAGUACAUAUUGUAUAUUUCAUCACCUGGUUGGUGGCAUGAAUGGCUAGUUGCCAAAAUGAUAUUAGAGUACGGGUUCUACAUUUUAUCACCUGGUUGGUGGUAAUAGCGGCAGGUUGCCGAAUAAUUGUGGAGUACUGGGCGUACUUUUGGUCACCUGGUUGGUGGUAAUAGCGGCAGGUUGCCAAAUAAUUGUGGAGUAUUGGGCGUACUUUUGGUCACCUGGUUGGUGGUAAUAGCGGCAAGUUGCCGAAUAAUUGUGGAGUACUAGGCGUACUUUUGAUCACCUGGUUUGUGGUAAUAGUAGCAGGUUGCCGAAUAAUUUUGGAGUACUGGGCGUACUUUUGAUCACCUGGUUGAAGCUAUUUUGGGCUUAUGGGCAUUCGCCCUCCACAACAUGCCAGCCCAUUUAUUUUGGGCUUUUCCGGUUUUUUUUUUUUUUUACCCUCUGAUGGGGUUUAUACAAAUGUCUCUAAAAGAUAAGAAAAAUAAAUUACAUCAUACAUCUGUCAAAAAAGUAAAUCACAUCAUUAUGGGGGGUGUUUAUUCCUUACUUUUGCUUUCUCUGAAAUAUUCUCCCAACGACAUGAUCUUUUUUCUUUUUCUUUUUUGUUCCUUUACCCUGAUCUCUCCACCUCCAGGCACACUCACUUGCUUUUGCUUUCGUUUUUUGAUUUGAUUUUCCUUUUCUGAUCAAGUACCUGACAGCUUGGAAUAUAUUGUAAUCAAGUGACCAGAGAGUAGGACUAGUGGAUACCUCUCUUCUGUUUUUCUUUUCCUUUUGGCAUAAGGUAGACAAAAGUAAUAGUAGUAGACUUAUUAUUGAGAAAGCUUAUCUUCUUCAUGAGUGUCUCCACUGGUGGAUGAGAGGUAGCCUAUGUAAAAGUCUUCUUCUUGGCAAGAUCGCUAGAAGCGCCAGAAGCUUUUGUGGAAGAAUUAGAUGUAGCAGGCUGCGAAAGAAAUAAAUGCAGCAGGCUGCUGUGAGCUCUUAAGCUGCGGGUUGGCGAUAGCAUGGCUGCUACCACCACUUGAAUACGAAAGAGUAAGAUCCAUCUGAACGAAAUUCGCUCAUACCCAAGGCUUCAACAACUCCACUCUUAUCAUCCAUUGAAUUUCGAAGAAGACAAAGCAAAGACUCCCACAUAUUUCUAUUAAGAGAAUCCCCAACAAAAACUAGUCGCUUUCCUCUCAAUAGUCCCAACAUGUUCUUACCAUCUAACCUUGGAAGAUUGCAAUGUUUGAGUUGCCAUCUAUACUUUUCGUAGCAAUUAUCCGGCCUCUUAUUAAGAAAACAAUUGAAGGAUUCAUCAAUAAAAGGAUAAGAACCCGGAGCAUAAAGCGGAUACGAAUCAUCUCUCACCCACAUUCCAUCAAACAUGUCACAAUCAUCCCUCGAAAAUUCAUAACCGGGCUAAGUUUGAUUACUCUGCUUCUUAGAUUCAGACAAUGCCUCACUAGCAUCAUCACUCUCUAUCGAGGUCAAUGCCACUGCUUGCCCCAAAACCCCAUCAGAAUCUUUAGCAAAAGAUUCAUUUUUUCUUGAACCCUCCAGUUUCUCGGAAAAUCCCAUUUUCCCAGUUACUUGAAUCGUAGUGUUCUGGGACGAAGUCUGAUUGGAUUCUUAGGGUAAGAAAAGAAUUGCGUUUGGCAGUUGGGCACUAGCCAUAUCAGACUGCAAACCUCCACUCUCAUCUAAACGUAGGAAAUAUUCAGCUUUCCAGGAAAAUGGGUUUCCCGGGAAAGUUCAAAAGGGGUUUUGAAGAUGUUCUUGAAGCCAAAAGGGAAAGAGUAGCCAAAUGGGUUGAAAACCAGGAAGAAAGUUCAAGCGAUGCAGACGAACGAGAAGCCAUAGGCAAAGGCAGCGGUUUUUCUGGAGGGGAAGAAAAUUGGGGAAGAAAGAGAGGGUUUGGAGAAGGCCUCUGGUCUUGGGAUUGUGGGGGAAUGCUGGUGCUUUGUGGGUUUUGGGGUUGUCUGGGUUUUUGUGAUUUUGCAGAUUCACAGUGGUGAGAUUUGAUGAAAAAAUGAAAGAGAACUGACAUAGUUUUUAUGUCGUUUCCCACAGACGGCACCAAAUGUUGAUGCACAAAACCAGAGGUCUUGGAACAACAUAAAUCCGAUCGUGAAUCUGCAUGAAAUGUAAAUAACACGAGAUGUAUCGUGGUUCACCCCAAGAUUUGGGCUACAUCCACACUGAUUAUGUAUUUAUCUGAGAGGUGAGGGAGAGAACCUCUGAAUAUGAGAGGGGAUGUGAGAGGGGUGAGAAGGCUUAAGAAAUGGCCUCCCCUAAUUGUAAGGGUGAUGGGUCCUUUUAUAGAAUAAGGACUCCUCACUCAUUACAUAUUUGCCCAUUCCUUUAUCACAUAAUUACAUUUAAGUCCCCUGAGUAUUUGUACGAGAUCUAAAUACGAGGCCCUAAAUAUGGUAUAAACACACUUAAUCCCAACAAAUUUGGCACUUUAGUUGACUUCUUCUAUAAAACUUGAACCAUUCUCCUAUUGUUCACCACAAAACCUGAGUUUUCUUGUUUCAUCAUUUUCAAUAGGGUUCCUUCCCUUGAGAAUCUUUGCAUUUUUUACUGUGAGUAAACUGUGUAAAAUUUGAAUUUUCCCAAUAUAUUUGGCUUCGGUCAGGUGAUGUAGUGGCUUUGGUCGAUUAUGAUAACACUACUAAAAACAUUAUAUAUGAUAUAUGUUUUAUGAAAGGUUUUAUGGCAUGAUAGGUUUUCGGAAAACCUAUUACAUUUUUAGUCAAAAUGGUCCCUGAGAUUUGCAUGACACAUCACUUUGAUCCUGGAGAUUGAAAAUCAAUAGAAAUGGUCCCUGAGAUUGUCUACCAUCCAUUAUUUUGGUCAUUCCGUUAAAAACUUCAUUAAGUGUUCUGGAGCUCUUGGCCGAAAGUUUGGACAAUUUUCAAAGUUUCGUAACUUAAUCGUUUAUUAACCAAAUUCAAACCAUGAUACAUCAAAAUGAAGAUAGGAACGUUGAGAAAAAUAUUAUACCUAUUUAGAAGCCCAAUGGUUGUCGUAGAUGGCCGAAAAAUAGCCUGAAAGGUGACUGGUCCACCGGAAAACUGAAAAACUCGUUGGAAACUGGGUAAACUUUAAACGUUCAUAACUUCUUCAAAACUCAACAAAAUCGAGUGAUUCAAAAACAAAAAUCAUACUUCUCGACAAGAAAAAUAGAAUGAUACCUUUCUUGAUGGCUAAAUCAUCGUGCUUUGGCUGAAAAACGGCCCGAAAAUUAUUGUCUUGGUCUCGAGUUAGCCACUUUUAGGCCGUUUACGGACCAAACCACGACGAAUUAGUUAUCGAGAAAGGUACCAUUCUCUUUGUCUCAUCAAUAAUUAUGAUUUUUGUUUUUGAAUCACUCGAUUUCGUUAAAUAUUGAAGAAGUUAUGAACGUUUAAAAUUUACCUAGUUUCCAAUGAGUUUUCCAGUUUUCCUAGGGACCAUUCACAUUUCAAGCUAUUUUCCGGCCAUCUCGGUAACCAUUGGGCUUCCAAAUAGGUAUAAUCUUGUUCUACACUUUCCUAUCUUCAUUUUGAUACAUUAUGGGUCGAAUUUGGUUAAGAAACGAUUUAGUUACGAAGUUUUGAAAAUUGCCCAAACUUCUGGCCAAGAGUUCUGAGACACUUAACGGAGUUUUUAACGGAAUGACCAAAAUAAUGGAUGGUGGACAAUCUCAGGGACCAUUUCUAUUGAUUUUCAAUAUCAGAGACCAUUUUAACUAAAAAACCUACAUAUUAUUACUAUUGAGUUUUCAUAAACUUUGGGGGUUAGUACGUUGAUGAAUAACUGUUUCUGUAUUACUUAUAUAUCAACUUGGUCCACUCAUGUUUUGUUUUGUGCCCCCUCAAGAUUUAGAAUCGAGGCAUACAAUCCUGACGUUAGGGUACUCCCGCAUCGGCAUCUUUAAGUCCUCUCGGUGUAGGACCCAUCCCUUUGUUCAUUCAAUUUUAUAUUAUUCCUUUGUAGUGUCUUGGGUUAGUUAUAUGCUCUGAAUACGUUCCACAAUUGCAUAUUCAUUAUAAUUAAAUUUACAACUUUUAUUUAUGUCAGUUAUUUGUUUUUAGUUCUCAUGCAUCCUUUUAUGGUUUCGUCACCUUCGAGUGUCGGCCAGUACGUGUCUACCCCGAUGUUUGGAGGAUAUCAGGGUCGGGCGUGUCACAUAGGUACAUAAGUAUCGGUUCAUAAGUUUUGGUAACAAUAUAUCGAUACAUAACUUUUAAAACGAAUGUAUCUGUACAAAUGUAUCGGUACGUAACUAUAGUAUUUAAACAUACAUAUGUACGUAAUAUGCAUAUACAUAUAUAUGGAGAAAUUCACGCACAAUAAAAAAAUAUAUGAUAAUAUAUGACUUCUUUUAUUAUGGAAACUUAACAAUAACCAUCAAUGAUAAAUAACAUUUUUAUUAUUUAUGGGAAUCAAUAUAUAACCUACAAACAAAAAAGUCAAUAAUUACUACAACCUAUUUAAUAUUAAAAAAUUAUAAUUAAAUGCCAAGGAUUAGAAUGAUUUUUUAACAAAAUUUAAUGAAAAUGAUUUGAAAAUUUUGAGUUUUACCGAUAAGGACAAAAUAAAGGGUAAAGUGAAUAAUACCAUGAUUGAUUUUUUGGUGUAAAAAUAUGAUUUUUCGUUAAAGUGAAUAGUAUCAUGAGUUUUUUUUGUUAAAGUUACCUAGUUUUUAAUCUUAGACAAGAUUUUAUUCAAAAAGUAAUCUUAGACAAGAUUUUAUUCAAAAAGUAAUCUUAGACAAUGAUUAGAAUAUAAUUUUAAUUUUUUUUUAACAAUCUACUGUGAGAGACAGAGAGAGUAGGCUAAGACUAUAAGAGCUAGUAAUAAUGUAGUUCAAAUUUACUUUUAUAAAAAAUCAAACCUAAAAUUUAUCAUUUAUAAGUGAAAAAAAUAUCACUAAUUGUAGUAUUUAUCUUUUAAACAUUAUACACAUAGGUAACUAUGUACUUUUCCCGUGUGAUACACCAUUGGAAGUGCUUUUCGGAACAGCGUGCAUGUCGCUUUUGAGAUAAGAUCUUGUCCAAAUGUCCAUGGCUUCGUGACAGCUGUGAGAAAGUGACGAUCAACCUACAUGCAAGUUGCUUGAGGGAGCACAAGUGCUCUGCCAACUUUGAGUAACUGACGAUCACAUACGGAAAAUGAUUCCGGAUCAUUUUCUUAGGAAUUCUGUAAUCGUAUAUUAUGUGAUCAGAAAUUAUUUAAAAUUUAAAAUUUAAAAUUCAAAUAUAAAUAGUACAUAACGAAAACUAACUUCAUGAUAUAUGAUGAACAAACAUAAUUACUAUGUAUGAUGAACGAACAUAAUUACUAAAUCCCUUGGAAAAUGAUCAGCCGAGGAUCAUUUUUCCGUCACAUACAUGCAUGUUGGCAGAGCACUUUGAAUUGGGGCCCUAAAUAAGUCUUCGAAUUGGCUCUAAAGUAGUAAAAUGUACUGACACGUGGCGCUUUAUACAUUAAUAUGUAGAAAAAAUUCUGCUAAAUACAUGAAAAAUAUAUGGGUAAAUUACAAAAAAACUACCAUAAUUAUUGAUUUUACGACAUUUUUAUACCUCAUGUCAGAGCUCUGUCAGUUUUUCUGUUACUUUUCUUGUUAAAUGCUGACGUGAACCUCGGCGUCAAUCACAAGAGACUGAAACCGUUUGUAGGGUUUGUAUGGACGACAACGACAAGGAGGCUUGAGCUCACGGCGUCAAUCAUAAGUGUCUUGAGAUUUCAAAAUUGGGGAAAACAGAGAAAAUGAGAUGGAUUAGGAUCUGCAGGUACAUUAGUCGAUCAUCCCCUCUCCAAAGCAUUUCCGGCGACCUGCCAACGGGGACCAGCGGAGUGGCAGCGAUUGAAUAGAAGGACGACGAUGGCGGUGAAGACGGAGACGAACAGCGCGAGGCAAUUGAAGAAACGACAGAGAGUUGGCUCUGCAAUGACGCCAUUGGAGAGAGGGAAACCCUAGGAAGAGAGCUAAGAGAGGAGAAAUGUACUGGUUUUGAAUAGCCUGAUACUACAGUGAGAGGAGAGGAGACACGUGGGUGAUUGAAAGGUGCGAGGGAAGCUCGCGUGUGUUUGAGAUUAGAAUUAGGACAGCUAGUUGUGCGGGAAGUUGAGGAUCGCUUUGGCGCCCCGAAGCUUGAAUGCUGCUCGAUCGUAAGCCUUGGCUGCUUCAAUCGCCGUGUCGAACUGGAUCCACUCAGUUUUGUUGGGAAGCGAGAUUAUGAGUGCUGGCUUUCGGAAUGGGUUAGCGGGUUUAGGUUGCAGGGAAGGGGAAAGAGAAGGAAUAUGGGUUUUGGAUUUGGGUUGCGGGAAAGGGGUCGGGGAAGAUAAGGUGUUUGGUUUUUUGUUUUUUGUUUUGUUUUUUUGUUUUUUUAAGGGUAAAUUAUUAUUUUUAUUAAUUUUUUAAUAAAUUGUGGAAUCCGAAUCAAGCCAUAUCAUCAUUUAACCGAGAAAUUCACAACCAACCCAAUGAAUGUAUAAUGGACCAAAUUUUAGAGAUGUGGUAUGACAUUGUCAAUUUUAAUGGAUAAAGUAUGAUAGUGUAGUGAGACGAGGUAAUUUUUUGUCAUUUACCCCAAAUAUAUUUAUGCAUCAAAUACAAUUAAAAAUUAAUAUAAAAAAAAUCAAAUACAAUUAAAAAUUAAUAUAAAAAAAAUAGAGAUAUACAAGCAACAACUACGCCUGUUCCACUACAUCAGCAUGCUUUCUAUGUCAUGUAUUUGACUUUUAUCCUAUUUAUAAGAGAAAUAAAUAUAUUAAAAAAAAUUUGGAGCCCCAAAAAAUAGGACGUCCUAGGCGGUCGCCUUACUCGGAAGAUUAUGCCGCGUAUCAAAAUAAAACUAAGACAACGUUGUCCACAAAAUAGAAACAUUGGGUUGGGUUUCAGGUCGUCUUCUUAGAAUCGCACGAGGCCCCUCUGAGUAGUGAGUACUAGUAAGCAGUAACAUACUAACAUGGAGCAAUUCAAAGGGCAGCCUCGGCUUCCGAAAUUCGCCUUGCCGAAACGGUACGACUUAAGGCUGAAGCCAGACCUCAAAGCUUGCAAAUUCAGCGGCUCCGUCGCCAUUCUCGUCGACAUCGUCUCCGAGACCCGGUUCAUCGUCCUCAACGCUGCCGAGCUCUCCGUCAAUGCCGUUUCCGUCUCUUUCACUCACACAGAUUCCUCCAAUGUGUAUUAUAUACUACUGAUCUCAUCUGAUCAUCCAUGCAAUUAACUAGGAUGCCUAAUUUGAAAGCAGACACUCCUCGAUUAAUUGUUUUAAUUUCCUUUAAGUGCUCCUGCUGUUCUGUUCAUGCUUUCAAAUAAUUAAUAACUGGAUGGAUUGAUUAUAUAAAUUCAAGUUAUGAAGCACCGAUCAAUUUAUUCAAUCCUGAAUCGAGGAAACACCAAAACACAUAUAUAUGUACUCUCCGUCUCCGAUACGACCACCCGAAACGAGAGUGUUUUUUACCCUACACAUUAAACUUUGAAGUGAGGGUUGCGUUCAGGCUUCUAUGGAUCCACAUGCUAAAGUAUUGCUGACGGAGGUGGAAAUUUUAUUAGAGCUCAAGAAUUUAUCGGGGUUUACUGCUUGUUAGGAUUUCUACUUGUUGGGAUAGGAAACAGGUGGAAUGACGGAAAAGAGAGAGAACAGUUUAGUGGGUGACUUUUGAAUUCUUUAUCUUUAUCCAAAAAUUAGUUUUACAUUUUUAAAUCUUUUCAAAAAUUAAAGGGCAUCAUUUAAUUUCAAGUUAACCAGGGUAUUAUACAGGACACGUGGCAAGCUCAUUAGGUGAUGGUGAGUAGAAAUGUUCCCAUUUAAUUAAUGUAAUCAUUUCAAUAUUUACUAUGUUUUAAAAUGAUUUGUUAUUAUCACUGAUUUGGUAAUAUUCUUUUUUAUUUGGAAGUGUUCGAAUCUCGUGAAUAGCAAAUUCGAUACCAAAUUAGGUUGCUCAUUGUAUGACUUAGUCGAACUCCCCCUCCCCUAGUGUAAAAAUAUCGAUGUACUAAAAAAAAAGAAUUUUUAUUGACACUCCAAAAAAUAUCAUUUGUACUCCAAAUUUUCUAUAAUUAAAAAAAAUACAUUGAAGUAUAAAAUGAGAUUUAUGGAGUGCUAAUAACAUUUUCCAUUUUAAAUAUUUUUAAGGUUAAAAAUAUAAUUUUAAUAUUUUUCAAUUGUAGCAUAAAUUUUGAGUUUUCAUGAAUGGCCGAACUCCCCUCCCAAAUCCCGGCUCCCCUAUCCUUGCUACAUUUUUUUUUUGAACAAACGAUAUUAUUUACAUUGAGGGGGAGAGGUGGGUUUAGCCUCACAAUGGGCUAGCAAUAAUGUGGUUCAAACUCACUUUUGACGAGACUCGAACCUAAGAUCUGUCACUUACAAGAGAAGAGAAGAGAAAUAUUAUUAAACCGUAAUACUAAGUGGCAUUCUUGCUACAUAUUAAGAUGCUAAUUUUUUUUUUUUAACAAACGAUAUUAUAUAUACACUAAGGGGUACGGGAGUGAGCUAAGCCUCACCCUCACAUUGGGCUAGUCAUCAAUAAUGUGGUUCAAAUUCACCUUGGCAAAAAUCGAAUAUAAAACCUAUCACUUACAAGUGAAGAGGAAUAUCACUAACCGUAAUACUAAGUGGCAUUAAGAUGCUAAUAAUAACAUUAAUUUUCAACUUUUACUGCCUUGUUUGGAGUACAAGACAAAAGUCAUUGACAUAACCGGAGGAAUUAAAGGCUUAAGUGGCUAUUGAGAUGAGAUUUUGCUUUUGGAGUUUGGGGAGACAUUCCGAUUGGAAGGGGAGUUUUGGCUAUUUUAUUUGAAGGAAUUCUGGAUGACAAGAUGCAGGGAUUCCAUAGAGUGUAAUGCUCCUUGAGUUCCGGAUUCGUUAUCCUGUUUGUUUAUCAACUUUUGAUUUUUCAAUGUGCCUAUUAUAUUUCAGUGGUAAAAUUUGAUUUAUCCUGUGCAGUAUGUAUGAGCAUAACGGUGAGAAGGAAUAUAUGGCUGCUACACAAUUUCAACCGGUUGAUCCCAGGCGGUGCUUUCCGUGUUGGGAUGAACCUGCUUGGAAGGUCGCUCUCGAUUUUUCUCUCUGAUAGUUGAAUUAGUUGAAUAAAUCUUGAUAUAUGUUUGUAUCUAGUCAUUUUGUAAAAUCAAUAUGGAUACUUUCGCACUGCUUAACCGCAGCUUUGAGUCUCAGAAGAAAGAUAGGUUUUUAUGGGAUAAGAAAUCAUUCCUUAAGUUAUUGUUAGAUUGUUUUACUAGGAUUGUUUGAAUUGACCCCAUUUAUUCUUAUCGAUUGGAACUUUGAUUGGCAGGCUACAUUUAAGAUUAGACUGGAUGACGUUCCAUCUGAAUUAAUUGCACUGACCAACAUGCCCAUUAUUGAAGAAAAAGUGGAUGGACAUCUGAAGACUGUUUUGUAUGAAGAGUCACCUAUCAUGUCGACAUACUUGGUGGCCAUUGUUGUUGAGUUGUUUGAUUACAUUGAAGAUCAUACAUCUGAUGGUAAAACUCAUACACAACAUCUCUUGUUCUGUAUUUGUUAGUAACCGUUUCUUGACAGUGUCAUAUUCCAUCUCCUCACAGGAGUCAAAGUGCGGGUAUAUUGUCAAGUUGGUAAAGCAAACCAAGGGGCGUUUGCUCUGAACUUUGCUGUCAGCGCUCUUGAAUUUUACGGAGAGUAUGUUUAUGGAUCUCAAAAUAACUCAAUGAAUCCUUUCUCUGAUUUUUGUCCCCUUCCGUGCUUAUGUUCAAUUGUUUAUCAUUUGAUAUGAAAUCAAUGACAAAAAAGUUCUACAGUUACUUUGCUGUGCCAUACCCCUUGCCAAAAUUAGAUAUGGUUGCAAUCCCUGAUUUUUUUGGCGCCAUGGAGAACUAUGGUUUAGUUACAUACCACGAAACGGUUUUGCUCUUUGAUGAACAUAACUCUUCAGCUGCCAACAAGUAAAUGGUAACAUACACAUACUGAAUGUCAAUCUUGUUUUCAUAAUUUAGCUUCAUUCUAGCUAUUGUUUUUUAACCUUAAUCAUUUCAUUUUGUUUUUGUGGAAGGUUGCAACUGUCGUGGCACAUGAAUUGGCACACCAAUGGUUUGGCAAUCUUGUGAUGAUGGAAUGGUGGACGGAUUUAUGGCUAAACAAGGCAUUUGCAUCAUGGGUAUCACUUUCUUCAUUUGUUGUACUUGUUAUUUUAUAUGCUUUUAGACUUAAAAGUUCAUGUUUUGACGUCAUUAGGUGAGCUAUUUAGUUAUAGACAUCUUGUUCCCAGAGUGGAAAAUAUGGACUCAGUUUCUUCGCAUUGAAGUUAGUGGGGGUCUUAAGUUGGACGGGCUUGAACAAUCUCAUGCCAUUGAGGUACUUCAAAUUGGACUAGGUCUUCCACAGAUUUUUUAUUCUGUCUGAAGUUUUAUUUUUCGCGGCAUAGGACCUUGAUCACCUGCAUAACAGGCUUUAAAUAGAAAUAUGCACGUAUACUUUCACAUUUGUAGUAUUUCUUGUACACCUUAUUCCCUUUUUUUCGCUAGGUGGAUAUUAAUCGUGCUUCCGAGCUUCAUGAAAUAUUUGAUGCAAUAUGUUAUGAUAAAGGAACUUCUGUUGUUAGGAUGCUACAAACCUAUCUCAGUGCCAAAUGCUUCCCGGUUGGUCUUUUGGUUUGUUAGCAAUUGUCCUUGACGACUAAACCAACAAUCUUAUUUAUGAGAUUUUUUUACAUUUAUUCCAUGGAAAUUUCCGAAAAAUAAAGGCUUCAAGGCAUGCAGGAUUAAAAGAGGAUAUAUCCUGAAAAAUGAUUAUUCUUUGAGAUUUUUGUUCACUCGUCUUCUGGUUCGUAUUGGUUAUCAAAUACGUUUCUCAUGAAAGUUACAGAGUUAACCGCCUGCUAUUUUUUCAUGCGUCCAGAGGUCACUUGCUUCGUACAUAAAAAAGUAUGCUUCAUCAAAUGCAAAGACAGAAGAUUUAUAGGCUGCCCUUUAGGAGGGAUCGGGUGAACCAGUGAACAAGCUAAUGAAUUCAUGGACACAACAAAAGGGUUACCCUGUUAUAUCUGUCGAAGUCAAAGAUCAGAAAUUGGAAUUUGAUCAGGUUUUUCCAUAUGUUGCCUUCCUUGAAAAUCUUGUUUGACUAUCAGACGAAAUUCUAAACGAACAUCUCAGAGGUCUAAUGCACUUUUUUAAAGUUUUUAAAUCGUUCGUUUAGGUUUUAUUCCAUGGUACAAAGAUCUAAUAAGUUGAUUAAUAAAUGGCAGACACAAUUCUACUUGAGUGGUUCCCAAGGCAACGGGCAAUGGAUUGUGCCAAUAAUAUAUUAUGUUGUGGCUCCUAUGAUGCACGCAAGAGCUUCUUGCUACGAAAUAAGUCUGAAACUCUUGACGCAAAGGAAGUUUUGGGUUGCUCCAUUGCAAAGACAAGAUCGAGUUGGAUAAAAGUCAAUGUGUAUCAGACUGGUUUUUACAGGGUGAAAUAUGACGAGGAACUUUUAGCUGCUCUUGGAUAUGCUAUAGAAAAUAAACACUUGUCUGCAACUGACGGAUAUGGUAAUCACGUUUUUAUGCUCACACACUUGUUUAUCUCUUCGAUAGUGAAAUUGGAAGUAUUCAGUUCAGCUUUCAUCAUUUCUUUUCCUUCAACAGGAAUUUUGGAUGACUCGUUCGCCAUUUCUACGGUUUGCUUGCAGUCUUUUGCUUCAUUGCUUACCUUGUUGGGUGCUUACAGAGAGGAACUUGACUAUAUAGUGUUGUCAAAUUUGAUCACUGUAAUGAUCACCUCUGCAUUGUGUUAAUUUUCUGGACUUAUAGCCUUAGUGUAAUUCAUGUUUUCACCUUUCACAGAUAUCUUAUAAGCUGGCAAGAAUUGCAGCUGAUGCUGUACCGGAUCUACUGGAUCUUAUUAAUCAGUUCUUUCUUAGCCUUUUUUAGUACUCUGCAGAGUAAGCUUGUUCUCUUUUUUUUUUCCCUCAACUAGCCAAGUACCUAAAAGGUCAUACCCAGUGCACAAGGCUCCCGCUUUACGCAGGGUCUGGGAAAGGUGAAUGUCGGCUAGCCUUACCCCCAUUUUAUGGAGAGGCUGCUCCCAAGUACCUAGCUAGAUAAAAAUUCUUUACGCAGACAUUGGUUCUUUAAUGAAUAAAAAUGGGUGUCCAGUUGGUACUGCCUACAAUGAUAUCGUUACAUUAUUUCAUGGCAUAUCGACAAAUUGGUAUUCAUGCAUACUGUCUAGGUAAAUACGCUUGUGUGAUGAUAAGAGGGCUGGAGCAAAAUGUUUUAACACUCCCAAACUAUCCACAAUUUUGCUUCUUUCUUUUCGUUUAUUUAUAUAUUUAAAUUUGGUUUUGUUUCCAGGAAGCUUGGCUGGGAGCCUAAACCGGGUGAGAGCCAUUUAGAUGCAAAGUUCAGAGAAGAAGUUUUAAUUGCCCUUGCUGUGUUUGGACAUGGCCCGACAAUAAACGAAGCAAGUAGGCGUUUUCAUGAAUUCUUAGAUGACAGAAAUACGCCUCUUCUUCAUCCUGACAUAAGAAAGGUUUGUUUUGUUGUAAACCAUUAAUUAAACACCUUUUAAUUCUCUGUUGAUCAUCAUUAUUAGUAACUCUUAAUUCUUGCACUGCAGGCAGUGUAUGUGGCAGUAAUGCAAAGAAUGAACAUGUCUGACAGAUGGGGCUACGAAUAUCUUCUUAGAGUUUACAGAGAGACUGAUCUGAGCGAGGAGAAAUCUCGCAUUUUAAGUAAUACUACUGAUUAAUUUGUACAAUUAAGGAUGUUGAUCCAACAUCUGAGUUUGUUAUGUCGUUGGAAUAAUAAUGUAUCUGUUUGUGCCUGUAGGAUCACUAGCAUCUUGUCCAGAUCCGAACAUAACACUGGAAGUUCUCAACUUUUUGUUGACUUCUGAGGUAUUUCUGAUUUUGUCUCUCUUAAUUGCAGGUUUAAAUUGUAAUUAGGUACCACAACAUUAGAGUAUCUCAAACCAAUUGUGAUUGACGAUACUGGGUUUAAUCCCAUCGAUUGCCAUCGAUGUAUAUAGGUACGCCAUCAGGAUGCUUCCGCUGUGCUGUCCUCAGUUAGUAGGGAAGGACGGGUAACAGCUUGGACGUGGCUGAAGGUAACUCUCAAUACCACUAGUUUCUAAUGAGCAUGCAUACUAUGAAAUGUACGUACCCACAUUCUAUGAAAUGUACGUACCCACAUUCAUGGAUUUGGUUUCUUUCCUGGUCUUGUUAAUAUGGUUCAUUUUGCCUUCGGGGAUGAUAUCCGAAACACAGGAUAAUUGGGAGCACAUCUCAAAAUGUGUUCUGGAUUUCUAAUUAUUCAGAUUGUCAGUGAAAUUGUUUCACCGGUUCGUUCUCUCUCUCUCUCACUCUCUCUAAACUUUUAAUUGUUCUCGUAUCUGGGGCCUUGUAUCCUUGUGUAAUUACCUUCCUUGCUACGCAGCUAGCGUCAUUUGAGAAGGUUAAAGAUGUAGAUGAGUUCUUCAAAGUCCAUCGUAUCCCCUCGAUAACUAGAACCUUGAAGCAGAGCGUUGAGCGGGUGUGUUGAGGAAAACUGAGAGUACACUGAGGAUCUAACUCAGAAAUUUCACUGUAAAUAGACUUUACCUUGUGGAAAUAUUCGGCAAUCGUCAUGUCUUGUUGGGCCACUGAUAACAACUCGUUCUCAAGGAACUGGAGUCUUGUAUCGUUCCUCUUUGAAAAGAGUGUGGCGAAGGUAUCCCACGCUUUUUUCGGUGUCUUAGCCUUCCGUAUGUGCUCCAACAUGUCAUCCUCGACUACGGUUUUUAGGGCGAACAUGGCUUUUCCUGCCUUGAUCUUCCACUUUUGCAGAGCGCCGUUGGUGUCUUAUUCCGGCUGCGUAACUUCAUUACCGUCGACGACAUCCCAAAGAUCUUGGCCUUGUAGGUAAGACUCCAUACACGUCGCCCAUGUGUUGUAAUUGUUGUUGUUCAACUUUUUUUAUUCCUCCAACAACUUGAAGAUCUCCCAUCGUGUCGGCAGAACUUCGAUAAGCCGAACAAAACUAGUCAACAAUCUUGCGAAGUACUAAACUUCUCACGAUUCUAAAAUGCUUCACUAGAGACGGUCUCUAAUCGUACCGCUCUGAUACCAAUUAUUGAGGAAAACUCAGAAUACAUAACUCUAACACAAGUGUUGAAAAGACAACACAAGUAAACAAAUUACUUGUAUUAUACACACAAAAUAUUACAACACUCACAAAGACAACUUUAAAAGCAAUGACACUCACUUGUUUUUUAGAGACACACUUUAAAUCACUCACACUCCUACAAAACUAUUCUUACUUCUUCUUGAUUGGUUCUUUCUUGAUUGAUUGGUUACAUAGCACCACACCCAUAUUUAUAGGCAUGUUUGCCGACCUCACUAGCACUUUCUAGUGCAUAUUCAUGCACACACUGCACCGACAUACAAGCCCUUCUUAAUUGCCGACUUUAUUACUUGGCUAAGAAUGCCCAUCUAGAUUAUUCUUUAGUGUUUUAGAUUACUCUAGAAUUUGGUUUGUUAACCAACUUCUUAUUCUAGAGUUAUGUAGGAAUUUCUUCACAAAUAAACUAGGCUUAAUUAAAUAUGGGCCUUUUGGGCUGGUGUUGAUUCUUCAACAGGGUGCGAAUCAAUGCCAAGUGGGUUCAGAGUGUUAAGGGUGAGAAAGAUCUUGCCGAUGUUUUGAAGGAGUUGGCAUACAGGAAAUACUAGCUUUGAUAGAAAAAAUGGGUCUGGAUUUUCCUCGGUUAUUAUGCAAGUUACAUAUUUUCCAAAAGAAGAAUAAUGGGACAUGGAUAAAUAUAAAUGCACUGUCAAAUUAUAAUACUAUAUUUUCGAGACACAUAGUUUUUUAUCUAUUUCAUAGAGGGACAAAACUUAUCCAUAUGGCAGGUGAUGUCAUGGUUGCUUUUUUAAUUGUCGUAUUUGCAUUAUUAGAGUUACUAAACUAGACAGCUAUAUCGGCCAAUCGAUAUGCUGACCUCACUCGGAGUGCGUUGGUGUGAAAGUUGAGAAUGCAAACCCUACGUGCUAUAACCGAGAGAACUAAAAAAUCGAAUGAAACAAGUGACUUGCAUGUGAAGAAAGUGACAUAUUAGGGUUUAGGUGUCGAAGGGGAUGCAUGCUUAUGAAAGGGACUGCAAGUUUUGCACAUAAUUAAUCCCAAAAAUUGGUGCGUUAGUUCAAAUUACGGUUAAACUUUCCACGUCCGAAGAAAUAUUUAAGCAGUGUCGACAGAGGUGAAAAAAGGAGUGCCUGGAGUGAAGAUGAGUAUCAUUUCCUUUGUCGUCGUCUUUGAGGAAUUCAGGUGGGCAGGGGAGAGAUCCGUCAACACAAGCAAUCAAACGGUGGCUCUUCAAAACUAGAACGAUCUCAGGAAGCAGAAAGGAAGACGGUCAGCAGCAGGAGGAUUGGUAGAAAUGGUUGACGCGGUGGGACACGCUUGCAAGGGUAAGCAGGAUCGGAAAAAAAGACGGUGUGAAAGAGGCGUAGGCAGAGAAGACGACUGAAGUGAACGGCCUCGAUAACUCAUCAGAGGCAUAAGGUGUGUAUUAUAUUAUCAUGCUGUACAAUGAAUACAUUUGAUACAUGUGAUAUAUUGAGUUGAUGAGAUACAUUUGUACAAUCGAAGACUAAAAACAUCUGAUACAAUGAAUGAUGAUUCUAUCGUUUUAACACCUGGCAGGUGACGAAAGAAUUGUUUGUCAUAAGCUCGACUACAAGUACGCUGUCUCUGGAAAGUGAUGACAACAUGAACAAUAAAGCUAGCAGUUUUCAAUGUGCAGAGACAUCGAAAUGGAACCCAAAGCACGCUGUCUUCAGAUUUCUCAAAGUUCAGCCACGAACCAUUGCCAUCUGCCAUUUUCUUUUCGAGGACACUAUUGGUCUGGUUCAAGAAAUCAGGAGCUUACUAUCCUUGAACCCGUCAGUUCUACCUGGUCACUUAGCAUAGUGUUUCUAUUCCAGGUGGUUCUUCUGUGCUCACUACAUUCAGCAACAGAUGACAUUCUCAGAACUGAACAUUUUGGACAGCCCCAACCUUGAUCACUACGUUAUGAAAACCAGUGCAUUAUCACAUAGUGCAUCAUAAAACUUUGCAUACAAAAGCUUGAAGCAUAGCCGCCCGUAGACCACUUUUGGAUGCUAUUUUUCCUUGGAACAUACUGAGAGAGGAUCUCACAAGUUCAUAAACCUGAGCGACCGCUCUGCAAAUUUUCUUCAAGAACUUCUAGAUGAUGUGAGCCGAUGGCGGACAUAAUUGCAAAAUUGAACUUUGACUGACAUGCUCAUAAGUCACAGUGCAGUCCAGCAUCUUUCCAAGGAAAGCAUCGGUUAGCCAGAAUACAUAGUGAAUUUCCCUGUGUAUUAUAUAUAUCAUCAGAACAUGUAAAAAAAAAAUAAGAGCUGCAAAAUGACUAGAAAACAUGCCGUAGAACAUUUCUUUUGACAACAAGAAGUACAUAGAUUGGUAGUAAGGCCAUCACUCACAGCCAUCCAAUGCAAGAAAGUUUUGCUUUUUCAGAUCAACAGCAAGAACACACCUUGGUAAAUCUAUGAUUCAGGCACAACAGCUUUACCUUUAUAUUAGUCGCCCUGAAAAGGUUGCAAGGAACCCCACGAUCUUCCAACUUUCAGUUUGACAUGCAACGGAACUGGACAACGAGUACUUAAAUUAGGUACAGCAAACAAAUGUCCUCAAAUUAUCGAGCAUUAAGCAAUGUUCCAGAAACUUUAGAAAUAUACCACGAAGCGAAAUAGCAUUUUCCAUGCUCCUCUGUAGCAGCAAAGCAGCCUCCUUUAUCACAACAGGAUCAACUUCCAGUACUAAUUCAUCAUGCACCUGGUUAGAAACAACCAACAAACAUUGUUACAUGAGUUGCCUUGUAAAUGAAGCAAAAUUAUAUUUAAUUAACAAAGCUAACAAGAUGCUAAAUAUUUUAGUUUCUUAAUAUCUUCCUCUACAUUUCGAAUUGACCAAAGAACAUAAAAUUAUAGAAUUGUAAACAGAAUUUCCAAAACCAACCUGUAAUAAAAUUCGGCAGCGGCCCUUCAGUACGUGUAACUUUGUUGCAGGGUGAGAAGAAGAAUCAGGCCUUUCAACACCUUCAACUAUCACGGAAUAUAUAUAUUUAUCACUGCAAUCUUAAUUAUGUCAGCAGCAGAUCCCUGUAAAAGGAAGACAUCAGAGAAAAAUACUACACUUCAGUGAUUACCUUUAAACACCCACACUCCUCAUCCCCACAGAAGGGAGGGAAAAAGUCAUACCUGACUGACAUAUAGAAUUCACAGCUUCUCUGAGCCUUUGACUUUUCUUUACUAUUCCCAAGUUUUAUUUUUGACAAAAAGCGCUUUCUUCCCUUAGGGUUUUGAUAAGUAUUUAUCAAAUAUAGCCAAAAAUGAAUCCUUAAUUUCAAAAAUGUCAUUUUUUAUAAAAAAAUUUCAAAUGUAUCCAAAAUUCCACUUAAAUAGACGCAAAUACCCUCAAAUUUAACAAUCAAAUAAAUUAAAGGUUUUUUAGCCAAAAUGAUUCGUGACAUUGACAUAACUCAUUAAUAUGGUCCUUAACAAUUAAUGAUAAUCAAUAGUAGUGUUCUUGAAUUUGUUAUCAGUAAUCAUUUUAGUCUUUCUUUGAAUUUAUCCAUUGUGAUCAUUUUAGUUUUUUCGUGAAAAAUCUAUCAAUUACUCUGUUAGCGUGAUGAUGUGGCACCAUGUGGGUUUCACAAAUACAAUCAUAUAACGACAUGUGGAUUAACUUUAAAAACUAUUUUUUUAUAUUUAAAACUAAAAAUGAUAUUAGUAAGAAAAAAGACGUUGACGGCAUGAUUGAAAUUCUACUACUCGCACUUGCGGUAACCGCAGUGGGGCUCAAUGUCAGUGAUGAGGGGUCGAAGGGGAUAGGGUUGUGGUGGAGUGUAGAAGCGAAGGUGAAAUUGGACCGAAGCUUGAGGCAACAGUAGCUAAAACGCCUUUAAUUUAUUUAAUUGUUAAAUUUGAGGGUAUUUGUGUCUAUUUAAAUGAAAUUUUGGAUAUAUUUGAAAGUUUUUAUAAAAAGUGACAUUUUUGAAAUUAAGAGUUAAUUUUUGGCUAUAUUUGAUAAAUAAUGCACAUAAUGAACAGUUGAAUAGCUUCAAAGAAAUGUUUACAGCAUUGUAUUACAAGGGAACUAACAGACUCUUCUGGAAUCCCAGUCCAUCUAGCCGCUAUCAUGGUGAAGACAUCACCAUGGGAUUACUAAGGAGUUCAAUGAGUGCAGAGUCUUUAGAGAAUGUGCCAUCAGCCGCAAUUCUAUCUGAGAAUAAUCUGCAGUUACAACAAUAAAACAAUUAACGUACACCAUAGAGUCAUAAAUCCCAUCCCCUUCUCCUAGUUAAUAUCCCACAAAAAAUUUCCUAGUCUGAAUAUAUGACAAUUCUGUACCAACCCUCCCCCACAUCCUCAUCUACUCGAGAAUUUUGUUGACUUUUAUGGUAUAAAUAUAAUAAUUGUUAAAGUUCUUUGAAUUAGCUGGGUUUCUAUGCAAGUAAGAAAUCUGAGAGAAUAGAGAAAGAUGCAAUAUGAAGAAAUGCUCUGCUCACUCUCAAAGUCUGAGAGGUGAUAUUUUCAUAUAUAUCUCACAGAACACACGCACUAAGGCAUAAGUACAUAACUGCUAGCCUUAGCUGGAUACACACAACCAACAAUACAAUCUCAGCCUUACACUUGUCAUAAUCUAAGACUAAGUGAAUAUACAAUUCAAAACAAGGCUUAUUUACUUUAACUUUACUUAGCUCACAGCUUAUACACUAAUAAUAAUAACACACAAAUGGCCUUCAAAUACAAGAGCAAGCUGAUCGUUACCUGAGUAGGAAUGAAGUAAUCGCGAGCAUUGAUGUUCAAUUGAUCAACAUCAGUUUCGUUUCCAUUUCCAUCCUUAUAUAUUUUAAAGUCAACCAUAUGUUCAACACACUGCAUAAAUCAAAAAGAACAAAAUGUGAUAAGAUAGUAAUGAUUAAAUUUUGUUAACGACUGAAGGAGAGGGAAGAGAGAAUAAAACGACGCAUGGGAAACCCAAACCUGGCGAUUUGGUUCCUCCAUUAAAGGCGACCAGUUGCUGUUGAUGUUUGGAGCCAAUGACCAUGUAAUGUGUACUAAUUCUGUGUCCUCACAGAGCCUACCCAGUGAACAAAUUGAUACCAAUGUACAGUUUAAAAGUUUUGCCAACGUACGAUGCUCCUUAAUGACGGGAAUUAUGGGAUGCUCAUCCCUGAAAUGAAAUCGAUUAUAGGAUGCUCAUCCAUCAAAACAAUGAGAGGCUGAUGCCACAAAAUCAAGAGAUUCAAAUGUGCAAGCAAGAAUACUUUAAUACCAUCUCCUUCAAGUGUUCAAUAUUCAAACAAAACAAUCUAAAUGGGAUGGAAGCCUCUAUGGAAUCAAAUAACUAAAUGGUAAUCCUAUUCGCUUGAGUAUUUAUAUUUCAACAGCUUAUUCACACCUGAGAGGGGGUAAGGUUACGAAGUACGAUAGAAGAAUAGAAGUCUCGCUAAUACCUUAAUAAAUCCAAGCAGUGCUUGUCCGUACUUGGGUGUUGUUUCCCCUUGUUGCGGCCCUCUGGUAUGGGCAGCUUUUAAGUGUGUUGUGAUUGACUCAUAUUUUGAGCUGACAACAAUGAAGUGACCUGUGUUUUUUUGGUGGAAAUAUCACAUGAUGUGGGCUGCAUGAAAGUUGCAGACAAGUGCUGCAAAGUAAAAGCAAAAGUGGACAACAAGCCAAAUGUUUUUCGGCUAAUAAACUAAACAAAGAAAAGUUGUGUUGUGAUUGACUCAUAUUUUGAGCUGUCAACAAUGAAGUGACCUGUGUUUUUUGGUGGAAAUAUCACAUGAUGUGGGCUGCAUGAAAGUUGCAGACAAGUGCUGCAAAGUAAAAGCAAAAGUGGACAACAAGCCAAAUGUUUUUCGGCUAAUAAACUAAACAAAGAAAAGUUUGGUGCACAUCAUCAUGAGUAAAGACACAAUGAUAAUGCUUGUAAGAAAAUAGAAAAAAGUGGUUGCUUUUAGUUUAAUGAUUAUGAAGAAAUGUGAUGAUGGAUUGGCCUUUAUUUAAUGCAAGGAAAUGCUUGCUUUAUGUGUGCUUGCCGAGAGAGAAGGUUUGCAUCAGAAAAGCAUCCAAGGUGGAGAAAGCAUUUGGUUCUCCCAUGGGAAAGGUUAAACAUGGGUUGAGAGAAAAUCAAGAGAGCUAGAGUGAAAAGUAUUAUAGUGAAAGAACUCUUGGGUAGAGUGAGGCUCUUGGGAAAAUGCUAUGAGUGGGUGUGCAAGGGAUUUGGGAUUGAGUUAUGUUGAUUUAACUCAUGUGUACUUGUACUGUUAUUCAUAGUGAAGAGCAAUAUCUCUUCGGGGACGUAAGCAUGUUUUUGCCGAACCUCGUAAAUUUUUAGGUGUCUUUAUUUCUUGUAUUUUAUUUUGUUCAACUGAGUGUGAUUUGGUGAGGUUGUAAUCUGAAUCUCGUUUCCGCACUAACGAACACGCCAAGGCACAACAAAGUGUCCAUACAUAGAUUAGCAAAUCUGGUGCCGUAGAUAACGAAAAUUUCAUGCCAGCCAACUUAUAGGCUUCCUUCUCAAGCUGCCCUAGCUUUUUUCCUAACACCUUGCGUGCUUGUAAGCAUCCCUCCAUGUCAAGACCCACUCCCCAGAGCUCCAUGUCGGCAAGAAUAUUAACCUAGCAUACAAAUAAGCAAUAAGCUAUUGUCGAAGUGGUUGGGUUGGGUACUGGUUCUCAAGCACCCAACUAAACAGUGGUCAUGCAUUUAAAUCCAAAACAAACAAUAGCAAUAAUGUAAACCUCAAAUAAAAUGAAGCUCCCUCAAAAAAAUUAAGUCAGAUGCUAUGAAAGUAACUUACCAAUGGGAAUUCAAAAUCUAGGAGGGCUUCAGUGAGGUCUUCAGCAACAAUUAACUUCCAAAGAACAGAACAUAAGGCUCAUAUUUUUGCAGCCCGAUGGUAGCAACCGUUAUGUGCAGCUCUUCGCAUCUGAUUCUUCCACCUGCCAUUCCGAUUAGCAGCUGAUGCAGCUUCACUAGAUAACCUUUUCUUAACUUCCUAUAAAUCGUUCUAAAAUCUUCAAAUGCAAAUUCAGUAACGAUGAACAUGUAAAUAUUGAAUGAAAGAAUUAUAGUUAAACACUUCUGCCUUUAAGAAAUGCUUUGAUUGAAAUGAUGAAGUUUCUUUUUUGGGAGUUUUAACAAAAUACUCCUGGUACUGUUCACUUUUAAUGAAAAACCAUAUUUAUACAUUUCCCUGGUAUUAUUCACUAUAUCUUUAAAAAGAAUUUUCAUUAAAAAAGAAGUUUUUUUGGAUUUUUCGUUAAUUUUCCUUUAUAUGAACCGGAGGCAACAGGAGAGUUUUCCCAACAGAUGGCUAUGCCAUGUAUUUCAAAGGGCGCAACAGAAUUCAAUUCCGAUCGUUUGUUGUAGUGAAUAUCAAAAUAGAACUCUCAGAUGGAUCCCCAGAGAUCCAAGAAGGAAUCAAAACCGCCAAGAGUUUUAACUCCAUGAAUAGGGCCUUUCCCACAAGCAUUGCUUUUAUAGCUAGAGGACAAAUUCUCCCUUUUGUAGCGUUUCUGUUUUUCAAGAGCAAGAGAGUCAUCAGAUGCCCUAGUUCUAUCAAUUAAGCUUUAUAACUCAACCCGGUCAGUCAAAUCAGUACUUUUCGUUUAAUCCAUCGCAGCAGUAAGAUAAUCCAGCCCUCGAAGAUGUACUUUAGAAUUGUCAGCACUAGACUUAAUUUGCAUGACACCAGUUCACUUUACUUCUGCAGCCUUUUCAGAAUGAACCCUACCUUCCAAAGAUGCUUUAGCAGCGUACUCUGUGCUGCGCUCUACAUUAGGGAAGCUACUAGUGGAGUUAUCACCAGAGGAAUUUCCUUCUCCUUGCAUACUGGGACUUCCACCACCAGUUAAAAAUACCGGUCCAGAAAACCGUGGGACAUACAUGUUGGUGGAUAGUCGCCAAAUUAGUGGCCAACUUGGCAUUCACUUUCGGCUAGAAAAUUAAACAAAGAAAAGUUUGGUGGACAUCAUCAUGAGUAAAGACACAAUGAUUAUAUUUGUUGAAAAAAAAAAGGAAGGUCACGAUGAUGUUUGUAAAGGAAUGAUUAUUCCUUUACUUUGGAUUUUUUUUAUUAAAUGCUUUUGUAUGGAUAAAGGUUUUCAGCCGAAUGAGGGAGGGAAGGGGGGAGCGGCAGAUGAGAGAAACCAGGGAGAGCAUUCGGCUCUCCCAUUUGAAUAUGAGCUGCUCCUUCCCACCAUUUGUAAUAAUCUCAUUUUGUUAGUAAUCACUCAAUCAAAGAUGUUGGUGCUACUUGUUGUGUUUGGUUCAUACAUUUGUGAGUAAUUAUGAGUCAUGUGUUAACAACAAUGAAGUGACUUGUGUUUGCUUUCGGUGGAAAUAUCACAUGGUGUGGGUUGCAUGAAAGUUGCGUGCUGCAAAGUAAAAGUAAAAGUUUGGUGGACAUCAUCAUGAGUAAAGACAUAAUGAUAUGCUUGCUUUUGCUUUAAUGAUGAUGUUUGUUUUUUGCUUUAAUGAUGAUGCAAGACACAAUGAUGAUGACUAUGAUGGCUAUGAUGCAAGAACUAUUUUGUGCGCACCAUUCUUGAUCUUCUUUGCUACGCCUACUUGGAUGCGCCUUUGAGCUGAACCUUCUGCAGUCAUAGUAUCAUCUUACCAAUAUUAGGAAAGAAUGCAGGAAAAAUACGCAAUAAAAUCAAAAUAACUUUAAGAAAUAGUAAAAUAAGUUAUAAAAGAAAAGUGGGCAAAAACUCAUCUUCAUAAAAUAAAGUACAUAAACUAUAGAGCUAGAACCAUCCAUAUGAACAAAUAUUAUCACAAUCCCGCUGGCAAACAAGCAUAUGAAACAAAUGCAUCUGAGCAAACUUACAUGCAUUUAGAAAGCUAAUUGUUGUACAAUACUUGACUGGAAAGAGUACCGUUGUGCAUUUCAUUGAAAGACCAGAAAGAGAUUCGCGUUCAGAAAAAGGUCUUGGAAUUAGUUAUCACACACUAAAAUUUUCCUUCUUAGGCAGAAUUCUUUUCUGUAGUUACUGGUUUGUAAUGUUACAUAAACUCAAUUCCUUUUUUAAAGGUCAAAGAGAAUGCAUGGAGUAAGCUAAGAAACACACUUCGGGUUUUCAGAAUGUCUCCAAAGCAAAGAAAUGCUAAGAACUAAGCUAAGAAACAAUUAUUUCUUAAUAGUCCUGGUAACCAUCACAAAUCAAACAUAGUUUAGAAGAACAUGAUCUUAUCAGGACAUCAGAUGAUAUUAAGAUAUCAUUUACCAGGAACUUAUCACAGGAAACUGAGAAGCCGUGUACUAAAAUUAGAAUCUUAUAUGCAUCACCUUGUUCGUUCCAUGAUGAAAAUUCAAAAAGAGCUUUGACUAUUUCAGGGAUGGACGCUUCAGCAAUUGCUAAAGGAGUACGCAAGCCAGCUUUAUAGAGUGCCCUCGCUCGAGAACCCUACAGAUCAGCACAUACCAUUUACAAAUAAAUAAAUAAACAUUACUGUUGAGCAUAUGUCAGGUAUCAAAAGGAGGUUACGAAUGUGACUGUAGUUCACAUACCUUGAUAUAUGGAAUUGUAGUAAGCUCUACAAUCUCUGCUCUCACUCCAAAUGAAACACGAUUUUGAAACUUGCAAACCAAGCCCUCUAAAUCAUGCCAUCCACGCCUCUCACAAACACAUGGUUAACCAUCGAUGCAAACCUUUCUCUUGUAAGGCCUGCACCAUACCUCUAGCCAUUUUGAAAGCUUCACGUACUCAGUGAUAGCAGCUUCCUUCACCACAUAUUGAAGAGUUCACAUUUAGCAAGGCAGAAGUCAACAAAUCUCACAAUAUCCCAUAAAUAAAUAAAUCUAAACUGAUAGAUACUUUUUUUUUUUUUUAGAAACUUCGACGGUACAAGGUAAUUUUAUUGAUAACAAAAAAAUAAGUUACACCUAGUUUGUGGAGACAUAAACCUUACCCCUAAAAAACAGAGACAACAAAAAGGAAUACACAAAAAAAAAGAGGGAACCUAAACCUUACCCUUCUAGAAACAAAAAACGAGAAUGAUACAAAGAAAAAGGAGGGGGGACAUAAACCUUAUCAUUCUAAAAAAAAAAAACAAGAAUGAUACAAAGGAAAAGGGGGGACAUGAAACCUAACCCCUCUAGAAUCAAACCUAAAGGUCUAAACUUGCAAAAUAAGUCAAAUGACAUCAUAAAGUUAGGAGAAAACAAGAAAGUGAGACAAAUCUGGAUGCCGACAUGCACAUUAAUUUGAGAAGUGGUAAUCAGACAAGUCAACAUAGUCUGAAAACAUAGUAGCACGAACAACUAUCGAAGGAGAAUCAUGCCAUGUAAAACUGAUGGAUACUCGAAAAAGAAAAAGAGCAAAAAUUUAAAUUACAAGACGAAAGGAACAAAAUGUAUGUCACCUCCCAUGUGCGUGUGUAUAGAUGGUUGAUUUCGUCAUAUCGAGUUCAUUGAAGAGGUGAAGUCAAAGUUGAUUUGAUGCUUCAAUUAUAUUGUUUUCAUUUCGAUUCAGGUGAAUAAGUAGAAAGUUUAUAUAAAAAUAAUAUUAUUUACUCUAAUUCUAUAAAGUUUAGUAAGCAGUUCUAAUGUGAAAAUCCAAUUAUGAUUUUUCUACUUUCUUUUCUUUCAUUUUACUUACAAAUUAGUAAACGAGCUAUAAUAAGAAUAUCACCAAGAGAGACUUUAUCCUCUAUAAAGAUACUAUAUUUUAAGCCUUAAUGAGAAAUGAGGAGAAAAAAUGUGUGUGAUUAAUAUUUAUCGUUUAACAUGUUGAAAUUAAGUAUGCCACAUAUAAACAACCGAGCUUUAUCGUCCUUACUUGAACAACUAAACAGUAUUCCACGAUUUCUUUCGCUCAAAGUAAAGCAUAUAUGCCCCUAAUAGAAUCCACAUUUUUGUAUUCUUAAUUAAAUUUUAAUAAGAACAUUUAAUACUACGAUCUAAUGUUAUUAUUCUUCACUUGUAAGUGAGAGUUUAUAUUCGAUUUUCACUAAAGACAAUUUUGAACCACAUUACAGCUAACCCAUUAUGAGGCUAAGCGUAUCCUCUCUCAUUUAUUUAACAAAAAAAAUUAUAUAACAAAGUUAGAAAUCAAAAUGAUUUUUUUUCUCUUAUAUUCAUUUUUAGUAAUUACAUAUGCCUUAAAAAUAAACUAAUUGACACAAAAAAAAAAACACAAUAACUGAUCAAAUCAAACAUUUCUAUAUAUAAGUGUAUUCUUCUCCAAAAAAUACAAAAGAAUGAUAGAGACAUCAAAAAACAAAUGUUUUUAUAUUAUAUAGCAUUUAAAAACAUAUGUUAGAUUAGAGGGAAUAUAGAAUAUAGAAUAUAUAGCCUCUCGCUCAAAAAAUAAAAGUAAAAUGUAAAAAAGAAAAAAGAAUUACAGAGAGACAAGUACAGUCGAGAAAUUCUAUAAAUUGGAGCGAGGAGAGUAGAGGAAGAGUCCCGCGCGGCAUCUCAGCGAGCGAUCGAUUUAGGGGUUUUCAUCAGAAACCAGAACAAGUUUACAAACAAAGCGAAUCGGCUUACAAGUUCACAAACAAAGCGAAUCGGCUUAGGGUUCGCACUCUUCCUGUUCUCUGGAGAACCAGCAUUGCAUCGAUUACUGUCUUCGGCUCUGCAGAGAGCCGCUGUAAGGUUCGAUUUUGCCCCUCUCAUUGUUUUAAUUCGUUAAAUUUUCACUCGCGAAUUGUUUCUUUGAUUGGUGGUUGUAUCUGGGUUUUAUUCGUUUGAUUUAAUUGUCAGAUUUUUUGGGUUGGUUGAAAAGUUUUGGAAUUUCAUGCAUUUGGGGAUUGUUCUAUGUGUAAUUAUCUGUGGUUUUCAUCAUUUAAUUAGUUUUUUUCCCCCUUCGGAGGUCUUCGGGAUGUAAUUUUGAUUGCUUAAAUCGGAGGCACAAGAUAGUGCAGUGUUAGUGUUCCAGGAUAUUGGGAGUCUGGGAUUCUAGGGUUUGUUUUUGUAUCAAUUGAAAGAUGUUUUAUUAAUUAAAAAAAAAGAUGUUUUAUUAAUUUAUGGAGAGAAGGUCUUGAUUUGUUAUCGAACAGUUAUUUAAGUCUUAAGAUAAGACAAAUUUAGUACUGUCCUGAAUCAGUUUCACUUCGCUUGAAUGUAUUCCUCUUUAUUCCUUUGAACUGCAGUAGUGUUUUCUGCUUAAGAUAAACCGGGAUUGGUAACCGUAGUGGAAAAAAAAAAAGAUUUUUUGGGUGUAAAUUGUUCUCGGGAAUCAUUAUCUUCUUACAUUAUUGACUGGCAAUUGUUCUAUCAAAAUAUUGGUAAUAGGUUUUUCCUACUUUUUCAGGUUAACUGUGAGUCUGCUUUUGAAGAGGCCUGGUGGGGGAAUAUGGAACAAGAUACACGGACUGAAAAGCUUGAAUUUACAUGGGGAAAGAAGAAAGGAAAGGGAGGGAAAAAUAAGGACGUUCAGUUAUGAAUCUUUUACUUUUGAUGGUGAAGAGUACACGCUGUAUGAUUGCGUUUAUCUUUACAAGGAAGAUGAACCUGAGCCUGAGAUUGGAAAGCUAAUAAAAAUAUGGGAAACUGGUGAGAAGACAAGGAAAGUUAAAGUUCUAUGGUUUUUUCGUCCUUGUGAGAUUUCAAAUUUUCUUGGAUGUGAAGAGGUACUUGAGAAUGAGUUGUUCUUGGCAUCCGGUGAUGGUGUGGGCCUUGCGAAUCUUAAUCCAUUGGUACUUACAUUUUGAUUUAUGCUCUUAACUAAUUUUAUCAUUUGUAUUUGUUAGAAAUGGAAUGAUUAAUUGAUCACGUAAAGGUGUGGUAUAUAGUUUGUUAGCCUAAAUGAAUAUAGUCUUUCUGAUUUUCAAUCAAUAAUGAUGCAGGAACUUUCCAUACUAUAUAUCUUUGCAAUGCUAUUGUUUCUUUUCUUCGUUCUGCUGCCAAGUUUGUCUUCAAUUUUUCACUUCAUUUUUCACCGAGUUGACUAAACCGUGCAGUUUCUUUUAUAGAUUGGUUGACGUGUUUGAAUAUAAUUUACAACAAAUUCUACUUCUCUGAUAUAGUAGGACCGUGAAACAUUGUUAAGCUUCUUAGUGUUCUAUUUUUUAUAUUUCUUAAAAGACUCUAAUUGGCAAUCCUUACAACUUUGAUUUCCAGCAAUACAAUAAGAUUUGCAUUCCCCUUGUGAUGACAUAAAUUGUGUCAGAUUACAUGUUGCCCCUCUCUCUCUCCCAGAUUACAUGUUGCCCCUCUCUCUCACACACACACAAUUACAAAUACAUGCUAAGGCUGAACUUGGGUUUUGAACUUUUGGUAGUAUUUGAUAGAUGUUAUAUCCCUAAUAGACAUGGUAAUAUUACAAGUGAGAAAUGGUUUCAAUUGGUAACUACAACAACAACAACAACAAAGCCUUUUCCCACUAAGUGGUUUCAAUUGGUAACUGAUUGUAAAUAUUCUUGCGCUAAAUGAAACUAAGCACUUAGAAAAAUAUAUUAUGUGCAUGUCUUGGUUAGUAGGAAUUGUAUUUAGACUUUAUAAUAUGAUAGCAUUGUAGCACAAUCUUAACAAGUUAAGAUGUGGACCAACGGUUAUGUUAUGUUCUAACACUGCCCCCCAAUCUUGGGACUCUCUUUAUCACAAGAGUUCAUUUGUGGAUUUCAAGCUUUGUUGGAAGGUACAAUUGCAGAGACUUCAACAUUGAAUUCUCAUGCUUUGAUACCAUAAUAAAAUUUUAUGUUGUUAAGAUAUAAAUCGACAAUUAUUUCAUAUUCUACUAUUAAAGAUCAAUGGUCUAGUUGCUGAAGUUUUAUAAUCAAAUCAGGAAGCCAUUGCUGGAAAAUGCAAUGUUCUUUGCAUUUCAAAAGACAAGGAAAAUCCUCAACCAUCAGAUGAAGAGCUUCAAAUGGCCGAAUUUGUGUUUCGUCGAACCUUUGAUGUUGGGCUGCAAAAAAUCACUGACAAGAUAGAGGGAGCAAUUGCUGGGAUUGAUGGUAUGUAUAUCUAUCAACUCGGACCCUUGUAGUUUGACUUAUAGUUGCAUGUUUAUUUUCAUAUUUUGAGUCUUAUAUCUUUGUUUAUGUAAUUGUUGCAGUUAAAUUCAUGUUUAACAGAAGGGAUAUUCAGAAGCCUGGUGGCGUUCUGAAAGUUGAUUUAGGAAAAAAUGAAGUUUGUGGGAAUUCCAUAGCAAGUAAUGAAACAGUGGUUCUAUCAAACAAAAAUUCAUUUAAAGAAAAUAUCACUUUAGAGACAAAUGGAAAUAUUGUUGAUUCGUCAACACUAGAAAAGGGUGAUUUGGUUAAGCAUAAACCAUCACUUGUAGAAAAACCUGCUUAUGGUGUAGGUUUAAAUUCAAAUGAAAAGGAUAAAAUGAAUGAAAAACAGGAACAUGUGUCAAAUCCCAAGGUCUUGUUGAGUUCUGAAGUUAAAAGUGAUGAAGGUGAGGUUAAGUGUGGUAAAGUUCAUGCACAACAAGUUGAAGUGGAAGAAAAAGUGAUGUUCACUAAGGAUAACGUUGAUUCGGAUAAUAGGCCAACCAAGAAGGCGAAGCUUGAUAAUGGUAAAGGUAGUGAGCAAAUACUUGCGAAGGUAGAAAGAAAGAAAAAAUGUACCAAUGUUUGUGAUUCGAAGGCGAAGAAUGACACUUCAAUUGAAGUGGUCAAUGACAAAAAGAAUAGUAGUGACCUGAGUUGUAUGAAUGUUACAAAGGUUGUAUCCCCAAAUGUUCCUGUUGAAGUGGAUCAUGGACAAUCUAAAAAGCCGAAGCUUGAAUCUUCGAUUGAAGUGCCCAAUGACAAAAGCAAAAGUAGUGACCUAAAGCAUGUGAAUGCUACAAAAGUUUUAUCAUCGUCUACCUCUGCUCUUGAUGAUAAAUCCAAACUUAAGCGUGCAAAGGAUUCUCUUGGAACAAACAAUGCCCUUCUCAAGAAGAUGAAGCUUGAUGACAAGGCAAUGACCAUUUCCGAAGGCAACAAUGGUAAGUUGCCUAAAGCAUCUCAACGUAAAGUCAAACAUGUAGAGGAUUCUCGUGGAGCAAAUGAAGAGUCUUGCAAGAAGAUAAAGCUCGAUGAGAAAGCCAUGGCACCUUGUGAUGGCAAGUUGCCUAAAGUACCUCCUACACAAUCUCAAAGUAUGGCCGAAAAGGUUGAUGGCCAAGAAGUUACUCGACGUCCCGAUGUUGUAAGUAAUGCCAUUCUUUCCUCUUUUCAUUCUAGUCCAAAUGAUUCCCUUAUUGAGAGUGUGAGUUGUCGUUAUUCCCCACAUUAAGUCGAAUAUUGGUGUCAUUUCUAGCAUGUUUUUUUCUUUGGGUCUUACAAAUACCAUGCAUUGUUUUAUAUGGUGGAGUGUCCAUAUAUCCUAUCUCUCAUGGUUGAGGGUUUUUCCAAUGCAAAACUUUGGCGACUCCCUAGGUUGUCAUAAUUGGAACUACUUUUAGCGUUGAUUUUGGAACGUUAAAUACUUUGGAGAAGGUUGAUAGUUAUGUUUUCGCAAUUGCAUAUCCUUGGAGAUGCUCUAAUUAUGUAGAGGUAGGAUGUUGGAGUUAAGGCUUUUGUAGUUAAGGCACAAAUUGGCACUUGAUUGUAGCAUUCGAUAAUUGAGUUCUACUCAAAGAAUUGGCACUCAUUCAUUGUACACCUGUGGCGAGUUGACUCUCGUUUGUACUUAAUUGUGGUGUGGACAUUGUGUGUCAUGUGCUACACAAGAAUUGCUUCAUGGCUUGCCAAAAUUGGUUUUUUUUCUAAAUGAAUAAUGUCAAGGCUAUCACAAACUACCAAAGUUUUCAAGGAAUAUUCAAAUCAUCAACCAAACUUCAAAUUUGCAGUGCUUCUUUCAUGACUUGACAAUGUUUCUUCAUCAAAUUGUCCAUUCGCGUCAAUUGUUUUUCAUGUUCUUGCCAUGCAGAAUUAUGGUAAAUUUUGAAACUUAUGGAGUUCAAAUAUAUAAAGUUGAACCAUUCCCAAAUGUUGUGUGCGAGUUCAUGUCAUGAAUUAUUUCGCUAGUAGUUAUAGUAAUGGCAACAAUGUUCCACUAUUUUAUUUGUAGUUAAGGUAUCUCCCUUGUUCUCAUCGUUGCUAAAUUUGAUUAGUGUCCACGUGGUGAAACCCUUAUUGGGUUGAAAGUAGUUUUUACUUGUUUCCUUCUUCAUUGUGCUCCUUUCAUUUAGAACACUAAGAGUGCGUUUGUUGCAUCGACUAAAUCGGACUAGACUAGCUUCAUGGAUUUAGCCGGACUGACUUAGAAUAGACUAAGCUGGACUGACUUAGUUAAGUGUUGGGUGCAGGAUAAUUAUACAAACUCUAAUAUUAUAUUAUUUAAUCCAUAUCUAUUAGUAUUUUGAUAUUAAUUCUAUCUUUUUCUUUUUUAUAGAAACCUCUUCCUCUCUCUUUAAACCUUUCCCUCUUUUUCUUUGUGCCAUUCUCUCUCUCCCUUCUUCCUCCUUUUCUCCCUCCAACUCAAGAAGUUGGAGAGCUCUAGAAGGCACGACAAAUCAAAUCCCUCCAAUCCCAUUUGAAACUCGAAUCGAAUCCCUCUGGAAGUUGGAAGAUCAAGAUGAAAAACCCAGAAGUCAAGACGAAAGCUAAGCUCGAUCAUUUACUUGUUGGAUCCCAUUUGAAACCCAGAUCCAAUCCCUCAAAAUCAUGGCCUCCUCCUACCCGAGCACCACCGCACCCUUUUCUUAGGCAACUCCCACAACCACCUAACGAGAACAACCAAUCCUCAUCGCCUUUGUUCGAAUGGGUUCGAAUUCAGAAGCCAUUGAUGCCCUUUUGCAGCAGAAGCUCUUAAGUGGCGGGGACGACGAGGCACUCAAGAUCAUGCGCAGCCUUUCACCACUGAGUGGAAGUUCAUGAUGGAGAGGAUUCUCGUUGAAAUGGGUGAAAACGAUGGGGACAAUGAACACGUAUUGCUAAUCCCAACUUUUCACACGGUAUUAGAGGUGAGGCGCGAAGGCUCGUCCCACUUAAUCUCAUUAAAGCUAGUCCUUUAACCAUGCCAAACAAGGAACUAGGACAAUAACUAAGCCAAUCCUAGCUAAGGAGGCCAAACAACCGGGAAGGGCUCAUUUGGAACUUCCUUUAGAAUGGAUAAAAGCAUUUUUAGAUAACCAAGGGCACUUUCUUUUUUAGGAAGCACGAUUACUCAUAAGUGAUUUUAUACUCAUUAAUCUUUUCUUAUUUUCACAUUAGAUGGUUUCAAACUGUGGACCUAACCUACUCGUGCAAGUCACCCUACGUCCACCCUCAAUACUAGGCUCAUAAGUGCUUUUAUAAGCCACAAGCAUUUUUAAGUUUUUCUACCAAGCGUUGAAGAAGUUUUUUGGUUAUCCGCAAGCGCUUUAAAGCUCACUUGGAACUACUUGUUUAGAAAGCGCUUUGGCUACAAGUGCUUAUUAAACACCAGUUGAGGGUUUGGUAGUCAGGUUUACUGUUAGUUCUUUUGUGUUAUUAAUGCCUAGUUCUUCCAAAAUGAUAACAUAAAGAUUCCCAAAAAGUUAACCUUGUAUUUAGUUCUUACAGUUGCUCAUCUUCAUUCUUGCAGGACAGAAGAACAUGGUUCAAGGGAUUUGUGAGUUGUUCAUUUUCACUUAUAUUCUUGGUUUUAAUUGUUAAUUUUGAAUCUCAAGUUUUUGUUUAUUGUUGAAUUUGAUUCUAGUGCAUUGCACCUGUAAGGCCUCAAAACUGUCUUCCACUCUAUUGCCUAGGGGCAAGGAAACAUAAUGGGGUGUUCUCAAUUUGAACCUCAAUUAGUAAUUACUUUCACCAAAAAAGUUAAAAGAGAAGUUCCUUUAAAUUGACAUUUAAUGGAUGUUUUAAUGUGGACGGUAGUGGGUGCCAUGUUGGACUGAUGAAAUGUCUUUUAUCAAUGUCAGCCUUGGGAGGAUAGAAUUCAGGCUGCACAUGAGCAAGGCACCCUUGUUCUGCUCCAGAAUUUGGAUCCAGCAUACACUUCAGCACAAGUGGAGGUAACAGUUGCAUUGGAGCUUUAGUUGCAAACACUGUUAUUACUUGGAGUAUAGAUUUUGAACUAAAUGUACUAAUGCAGUAUGUAGUUGUGUGUUUACUCGUCCAAUUUUUCAUCUUUGUCAACUCUAGGCUGCCACUUACUUAUGUGUUGGGUUUUCUACUUUAGAGCAACAUCUCAUUUGAUCUUAUGUAUUACAUUUCAGGACAUACUAUGGCAUGGUUUUAAGGAGAGCUGCACGGCUAAGAUGAUUCAGCGGACCGCCAAUUCUAGUCCUCACUAUGGUAUGGAUAAUUUAUUUAAAUCUUAUAUUUAUUCUCCUAUCUAUUUUCUCAGAAAAAUUGACUUGAUCUUGUGUUUAGAUGAUAAUAUUUAUUUGUAAACACAACAUGGAUGAAAUUACGCUUAUAGUCUAAUUCUAAAUUAUUUGUUUGUUCAUAUUGUAGGACAAGCUCUUGUUAUUCUCAAAACUAGGGAAGCAGCACAAAAGGUUGUUAGAGAAUUGGAUAAGAGAUGUUUAUUGUUGUCAAAUGGAAGGUUUGUAGUUGGCUAAUAUUCUAGCAUAGGUCGUGUUAGCCUCUACAGCAUGAUGCAUCUUUUUGCUAUUUACUCUCUAUAUCUUGUUUUAUUUCUCUGUUCCACUCCCCAUUAAAUAAUUUAGAACACUCCACAUACCAAGUUUUUUAUUUUGAAGUCCUUUCUUAUGACGUACUGGUAAUCUUUUCUGUUGUAUCCUAUUUUUCUGUCUUAUCAAUUCAAAGCAGUUGACAUGUAAGAAGUUUUCACCAGGUGGUAUUUUUUUUCUCUAGGUUCUGUUAAUUAACUGUUUUUGAUUGACGAAGGAUACGAGCUUCUGUCAAUUUCAAUGUGAUUAUCAACUUUUACUUUAUAUACAGCUAAUUUCUGCAAAUAGGUGGUUCACAUGAUGAUAGUUUUUAUACGAUUUAUAGGCCUCUUGUUGGCAGCUUUGGAACUCCUUGUUCCUCAGAAAAGAAGGCACCCUUUUUUGGUCAUCUUACUAUUGAGAAACUACGGCACCAAAAUGCACGGGAAAUGGUACAGUUGCAUCUCUCUCUCUCUCUACAAGCAUCAACAUAUAUACAAGAAACACAAGCGUAUAAAGCUGGUAUUGUUUGUUUCUGUUUUCAUAGCCUUCUCAUCUACAUGUUUAUGUUUUUACCUUUUUGGAUCCAGAAAGAAGCCAUAUCUACUUCACAUUGUUCCCAGCCCAACACUAUUGAAUACGAUAUGGCCAUGGAGUGGUGUUUACAACAAGAAAGAUCAGAUCUUUUGUGGAGGAACUUAUAUAAGGUCUUGGAAAUAUUCAUUGUCAUAUAAAAUAUAUUGAAUUGUGUUUGAAUAAUAUGCUAUUUAAUGUUUGUGGGUGUUGUUUCCUUAGCCAAACUAUCUCAAAUGACUUUUUUCUCCUUUAAAAUUUUGUUUUAGCAACAAGGAAAGGAGUUGAGAAAACUCAAAGCGGAACUUAAACUCAAACCUGCACAUAAG
rnacentral:lncRNA from 1 species